UACGUAGGCGGAAUAUUAAGUCAGUGGUGAAAUCCUGCGGCUCAACCGUAGAACUGCCAUUGAUACUGAUGUUCUUGAAUAUAGUUGAGGUAGGCGGAAUGUGUAAUGUAGCGGUGAAAUGCUUAGAUAUUACACAGAACACCGAUUGCGAAGGCAGCUUACUAAACUAUUAUUGACGCUGAUGUACGAAAGCGUGGGGAGCGAACAGGAUUAGAUACCCUGGUAGUC
rnacentral:rRNA from 1 species